rnacentral:rRNA from 1 species
UUCCGGUUGAUCCUGCCAGAGGCCACUGCUAUCGGAGUUCGAUUAAGCCAUGCGAGUCGAGAGGUGCAAGACCUCGGCAUACUGCUCAGUAACACGUGGACAACCUAACCUAUGGUGGGGGAUAACCCCGGGAAACUGGGGAUAAUACCCCAUAGGCUAUGGAAGCUGGAAUGCUCUGUAGUCGAAAGGUGAGCCGCCAUAGGGUGGGUCUGCGGCCGAUUAGGUUGUUGUUGGGGUAACGGCCCAACAAGCCUGUAAUCGGUACGGGUUGUGGGAGCAAGAGCCCGGAGAUGGAUUCUGAGACACGAAUCCAGGCCCUACGGGGCGCAGCAGGCGCGAAAACUUUACAAUGCGGGAAACCGUGAUAAGGGAACUCCGAGCGCCCGUUAAAUCGGGCUGUCCGUCAGUUUAAAUAACUGACGAAGAAAGGGCCGGGCAAGACCGGUGCCAGCCGCCGCGGUAAUACCGGCGGCUCGAGUGGUGGCCACUAUUACUGGGCUUAAAGCGUUCGUAGCUGGUUUGUUAAGUCUCUGGGGAAAUCUGCCGGCUUAACCGGCAGGCGUCUCAGGGAUACUGGCAGACUAGGGACCGGGAGAGGUGAGGGGUACUCCAGGGGUAGGAGUGAAAUCCUGUAAUCCUUGGGGGACCACCUGUGGCGAAGGCGCCUCACCAGAACGGCUCCGACAGUGAGGGACGAAAGCUGGGGGAGCAAACCGGAUUAGAUACCCGGGUAGUCCCAGCUGUAAACGAUGCGCGUUAGGUGUAUCGGUGACCACGAGUCACCGAGGUGCCGAAGAGAAAUCGUGAAACGUGCCGCCUGGGAAGUACGGUCGCAAGGCUGAAACUUAAAGGAAUUGGCGGG